rnacentral:rRNA from 1 species
UACGUAGGGGGCAAGCGUUGUCCGGAUUUAUUGGGCGUAAAGAGCGUGUAGGCGGCCAAGUAAGUCUGCUGUGAAAACUCGAGGCUUAACCUCGAGCUGUCGGCGGAAACUAUUUGGCUAGAGUCCGGAAGAGGAGAAUGGAAUUCCCGGUGUAGCGGUGAAAUGCGCAGAUAUCGGGAAGAACACCCGUGGCGAAGGCGGUUCUCUGGGACGGUACUGACGCUGAGGCGCGAAAGCGUGGGGAGCGAACAGG